AUUGAACGCUGGCGGCAGGCCUAAAACAUGCAAGUCGAGCGAGCGGCGGACGGGGGAGUAAUGUAUGGGGACUGCCCGAUAGAGGGGGAUAACUACUGGAAACGGUUGCGAAUACCGUAUUACAUCCGAUAACCCAUAUGGGAUUAGCUAGUAGGUGAGGUAAUGGCUCACCUAGGCGACGAUCCCUAGCUGGUCUGAGAGGAUGAUCAGCCACACUGGGACUGAGACACGGCCCAGACUCCUACGGAGGCAGCAGUGGGGAAUAUUGCACAAUGGGCGCAAGCCUGAUGCAGCCAUGCCGCGUGUAUGAAGAAGGCCCUAGGGUUGUAAAGUACUUUCAGUCGGGAGGCGUUACCGACAGAAGAAGCACCGGCUAACUCCGUGCCAGCCGCCGCGGUAAUUC
rnacentral:rRNA from 1 species